rnacentral:rRNA from 1 species
AGUCGCAAGACGCUGAAAGAGGAGCCCGCGGCGAUUAGCUAGUUGGUAGGGUAAGAGCCUACCAAGGCAGAGAUCGGUAGCCGGCCUGAGAGGGCACACGGCCACACUGGCACUGAAACACGGCCAGACUCCUACGGGAGGCAGCACAUGGGGAAUCUUGCACAAUGGGGGCAACCCUGAUGCAGCGACCGCCGCGUGA